UACGAAGGGUGCAAACGUUGCUCGGAAUCAUUGGGCGUAAAGCGCACGUAGGCGGCUUCGCAAGUCGGAUGUGAAAUCCCUCGGCUCAACCGAGGACGUGCAUCCGAAACUGCGGAGCUUGAGUACUGAAGAGGAUCGCGGAAUUCCCGGUGUAGAGGUGAAAUUCGUAGAUAUCGGGAGGAACACCAGUGGCGAAGGCGGUUGCCUGGGGCUUUGCUGACGCUGAUGCGCGAAAGCGUAGGGAGCGAUCCGG
rnacentral:rRNA from 1 species